GACGGAGGAGGGUAGCUGAGCCGGAUCGACGGAAUGUCCGGUUCAAUCCCGUAGAAGGAUUCGCUAGGAGGCCUCGUGCCACAAACGGCGAGUCAACUUCGAGAGGUGAUGAGGAGAGCGCUUGCGCUCGCAAACUCAGUGAUCCCAAACUUCCGAGAAAAGCUCCGGUAGAGUUAACCGCUGUCGCGACCGUACCGCAAACCGACACAGGUGGGCGAGGAGAAGAUC
rnacentral:rRNA from 14 species